UACGUAGGCAGCGAGCGUUGUUCGGAAUUAUUGGGCGUAAAGGGUGUGUAGGCGGUGUCGUAAGUUUGGUGUGAAAUCUCCCGGCUUAACCGGGAGGGUGCGCCGAAGACUGCGAUGCUUGAGGUUGGGAGAGGUAAGCGGAAUUCCUGGUGUAGCGGUGAAAUGCGUAGAUAUCAGGAGGAACACCUGCGGUGUAGACGGCUUACUGGACCACACCUGACGCUGAAACACGAAAGCGUGGGUAGCAAACAGG
rnacentral:rRNA from 1 species